AUGCCCAGGAGGUUUGGCUCCUCCUCGACUUCCUCCUCUCACUCCUCUUCCCGCUCCUCUUCCCAUUCCUCCGACUCGUUGGCGGUGUUCGGCGUCAAGGCCGAGCCCGCAGCGGAGACGCCGCUCGGCCGACGCACUCGCAGCGCCGACAUCAUCAUCAAUGAGGGCGGCCGGCGCGCCUCCUCCUCGGCUCCUCCGCGCUUCGUCAAACCGAAGACGGAGCCGGGGCUCGCGGCCGUGAAAACGGAGCCGCGACUCCCUGCCGUGAAGACGGAGCCCGGCGCCGGGGAGCUCGACGACGCGACGGCCCUGAAAUGGGCGCGCGAUGACUGGGUGAACAUGGAGAUGGAGCGCCAGCGCCGAGCCCUAUAG
rnacentral:rRNA from 1 species